AGAAUCUGACACUUUUUCCGCCGCUUUGGACACAGACAGCGAUGGAAGCAUCACAGCGUCACAUGAUCUGAACUCAAGAUUUACCUCGCUUGAUAUAAAUCAUGACCAUCACCUUAUCAUUUUGGAAGUUGUUAAGAUGGCAGCGCUUUUACCGAAACCUUCUCUACAAGGUUAAUGUGAUAUUUUAAUACACUAAAAAGCAGAAUGUACUGGAUUUUCA